rnacentral:rRNA from 1 species
CAGGAUUAGAUACCCUGGUAGUCCACGCUGUAAACGAUGAUCACUCGUUGUCGGUAUGAAUAUGUCGGCGGCUAAGCGAAAGUGAUAAGUGAUCCACCUGGGGAGUACGUUCGCAAGUAUGAAACUCAAAGGAAUUGACGGGGGCCCGCACAAGCGGAGGAGCAUGUGGUUUAAUUCGAUGAUACGCGAGGAACCUUACCUAGACUUGAACGUAUAUGGAGUUAUGUAGAAAUAUGUAAGCCAGCAAUGGCCAUUUACGAGGUGCUGCAUGGUUGUCGUCAGCUCGUGCCGUGAGGUGUUAGGUUAAGUCCUGCAACGAGCGCAACCCUUACCGUUAGUUACCAGCAUGUAGAGAUGGGGACUCUGGCGGAACUGCCCGCGCAAGCGUGGAGGAAGGUGGGGAUGACGUCAAAUCAGCACGGCCCUUACGUCUAGGGCGACACACGUGCUACAAUGGCCGGUACAGAGGGCAGCUACACAGCGAUGUGAUGCUAAUCUCGAAAGCCGGUCUCAGUUCGGAUCGGAGUCUGCAACUCGACUCCGUGAAGUUGGAUUCGCUAGUAAUCGCGCAUCAGCCAUGGCGCGGUGAAUACGUUCCCGGGCCUUGUACACACCGCCCGUCAAGCCAUGGAAGUUUGGGGCGCCUAAAGUACGUCACCGCAAGGAGCGUCCUAGGGCGAAACAAGUAACUGGGGCUAAGUCGUAACAAGGUAACCGUA